rnacentral:rRNA from 1 species
GACGAACGCUGGCGGCGUGCUUAACACAUGCAAGUCGAACGGAAAGGCCCUGCUUUUGUGGUGUGCUCGAGUGGCGAACGGGUGAGUAACACGUGAGUAACCUGCCCUUGACUUUGGGAUAACUUCAGGAAACUGGGGCUAAUACCGGAUAGGAGCUCCUGCUGCAUGGUGGGGGUUGGAAAGUUUCGGCGGUUGGGGAUGGACUCGCGGCUUAUCAGCUUGUUGGUGGGGUAGUGGCUUACCAAGGCUGUGACGGGUAGCCGGCCUGAGAGGGUGACCGGCCACAAGGGGACUGAGAUACGGCCCAGUCUCCUACGGGAGGCAGCAGGGGGGAAUAUUGCACAAUGGGCGGAAGCCUGAUGCAGCAACGCCGCGUGCGGGAUGACGGCCUUCGGGUUGUAAACCGCUUUCGCCUGUGACGAAGCGUGAGUGACGGUAAUGGGUAAAGAAGCACCGGCUAACUACGUG